ACAGCGUUGCCCCCCUGUGGUUCUGGUAUUCCAAGGACCCAGAGGGCCAACUCUGAGC
rnacentral:pre_miRNA from 1 species